CACUAAUUAAUCUCCUCUUCUCCAUUUCUCUCAAACUCCCAGCCGCGCCCCUCCUUUCCUCCUUUCUCUCUGAAAAUUUUUAGCCUCCAAAAAUCAACAAAAACCCAUCCCAUGGCUCUCUCUCCCUAAGCAUCUCCCUCUUGGGUCUCUCUCCCUAAUGCUCGGACUCCCUCUUGGGUCUCUCUCCUAAACGGUCCGCUCCCUCUUGGGUCUCUCUCCCAAACGGUCCGCUCCCUCUUCUCGGCUCUCUAUCCCUAAUGACGAAACGGUCUGCGACUCCCUCUCGGGUCUCUCUCCCUUUUGGUUCCAAGCUGCUCUCCCUCUUGCCGAGCUGCUCUCUCUCUCGGACACCGAAACCCAGAGGCUUCCUGAGCUUGCAAAAUUCUGCAGCUGAGUACAAAGCACAACCGAAGCAUUUGAGUCUUACAUGGAUUCAGAAACUAGAGGGAUAAUGGCAAUAUAUGCCACUACACAGCUAAGGAGAACUUCCGAGAUUAUAUUUAUUACAGUCUGAUGCUUUUUGUUGAGGGUACAAGCAUCACACACGCUUCUCAUAUAUCAUUUGGUUUGUCCUUUUAUGAAUAAUGUAAAAUUAGAACAAUUUUAUUGUAAGAUCCAUCAAUAGAGUAUCCCGGAUUAAAAUAUUUAGAUUGUUAUUAGGACUUAGAGGUGGUUUGAGUCUUUUUAUGUAUUUAUUUAUUUUUUAUUUGUAUUGAUAAUGUUGAAAGAUGUUAUAAGUUAGCUUACGUUAUAUGUUAAUGAGAAAUUUCAAUUUCUUGUGAA